GCUGCAGCGGAUCUAAAUUUCAGAGACCGAUUAACAUGUCUCCGGUGGGGCAUGCAGCUGUCCUGGGGUGCUCAUGUUAUCAGCAGCAGAGAUGUAACCAAGCGUUUUUGUUACAUGGGGUUUUCA